UCCCUCUCAGGGUCACACCUAGAGAGUUUCCAGUACUCUACCAGUCUUGACUAUGGGAGGGAGAGUCAUGCAGAGACCUACCCAUUCUAUUCCUAGCUUAAGCAGUGGCUUGUGAGUGGGAAGCAAUCUGUUACAAAU